rnacentral:rRNA from 1 species
GAUAGUGUUAACUUGUAGUGAUGAAAGAAUGCAGUUGUGAAAGAAUGCGAUUGAUAUUACCAUUGUGCGUUUUCC